rnacentral:rRNA from 1 species
GACGAACGCUGGCGGCGUGCUUAACACAUGCAAGUCGAACGGAAAGGCCCUGCUUUUGUGGGGUGCUCGAGUGGCGAACGGGUGAGUAACACGUGAGUAACCUGCCCUUGACUUUGGGAUAACUUCAGGAAACCGGGGCUAAUACCGGAUAGGAGCUCCUGCUGCAUGGUGGGGGUUGGAAAGUUUCGGCGGUUGGGGACGGACUCGCGGCUUAUCAGCUUGUUGGUGGGGUAGUGGCUUACCAAGGCUUCGACGGAUAGCCGGCCUGAGAGGGUGACCGGCCACAUUGGGACUGAGGUACGGCCCAGACUCCAACGGGAGGCAGCAGUGGGGAAUAUUGCACAAUGGGCGGGAGCCUGAUGCAGCAACGCCGCGUGCGGGAUGACGGCCUUCGUGUUGUGAACCGCUUUCGCCUGUGACGAAGCGUGAGUGACGGUAAUGGGUAAAGAAGCACCGGCUAACUACGUG